GAUGAACGCUGGCGGCGUGCCUAAUACAUGCAAGUCGAGCGAACAGACGCGGAGCUUUCUCCUCUGACGUUAGCGGCGGACGUGUGAGUAACACGUGUAUAACCUACCUAUAAGACUGGGAUCACUUCGGGAACCCGGAGCUCAUACCGGCUACUAUAUUGAACCGCAUGGUUCAAUAGUUACAGCCGGUUUUGCUGUCACUUAUAGAUGGAUCCGCGCCUCAUUAGCUAGUUGGUAAGGUAACGGCUUACCAAGGCAACGAUGCGUAGCCGACCUGAGAGGGUGAUCGGCCACACUGGAACUGAGACACGGUCCAGACUCCUACGGGAGGCAGCAGUAGGGAAUCUUGCGCAAUGGGCGAAAGCCUGACGGAGCAACGCCGCGUGAGUGAUGAAGGUCUUCGGAUCGUAAAACUCUGUUAUUAGGGAAGAACAAAUGUGUAAGUAACUAUGAACGUCUUGACGGUACCUAAUCAGAAAGCCACGGCUAACUACGUG
rnacentral:rRNA from 1 species